rnacentral:rRNA from 1 species
UACGUAGGGGGCAAGCGUUGUUCGGAAUUACUGGGCGUAAAGGGCGCGUAGGCGGCCCGGUAAGUCAAAGGUGAAAUCCCUCGGCUCAACUGAGGAACUGCCUUUGAAACUGUCGGGCUUGAGGCCGGGAGAGGGUAGUGGAAUUCCCAGUGUAGCGGUGAAAUACGUAGAUAUUGAGAGGAACACCAGUGGCGAAGGCGGCUACCUGGACCGGUUCUGACGCUGAGGCGCGAAAGCGUGGGUAGCAAACAGG